ACACCUACUUCUGAACUUGUGAGUCUGCCUUGUAUUCGUACUUGAAUUUGCAUAUUCCUGUAACAGAUGUUGGUGGAUACUUAGGAUGCACAGACAAUUAGAACAUUAACUCUCAUCUCAAAAACUAUACAAACUUUGGGAAGCUGGGGGAGUCUGUCCAAAAGCAAGUCAAGUUUCAAAGAGACAUUCAUGUGUGAAUUUUUCAAAAUGUUUCAAGAAGAAGGAUAUAUUAUAGCAGUUAAAAAGUUCUUGGAUGAAAUUUCAUCUACUGAAACUAAAGAGUCCAGUGGUACGAGUGAGCCUGUGCACCUGAAAGAAGGUGAGAUGUAUAAAAGAGCUCAAGGAAGAACUCGGAUUGGAAAAAAGAAUUUUAAGAAACGAUGGUUCUGCUUAACAAGCAGAGAGCUCACCUACCACAAACAGCCAGGCAAAGAUGCAAUCUACACAAUUCCAGUAAAAAACAUUCUUGCUGUGGAAAAACUGGAAGAGAGCUCUUUCAACAAGAAAAAUAUGUUCCAAGUAAUACAUACGGAGAAACCACUCUAUGUCCAGGCAAAUAACUG
rnacentral:sRNA from 1 species